rnacentral:rRNA from 1 species
ACAAGUACCGUGAGGGAAAGGUGAAAAGGACUUUGAAAAGAGAGUUAAAAGUGCCUGAAAUUGCUGAAAGGGAAGCGAAUGGAACCAGUGUUGCUUGGCGAGAUUGUCGUACGCAUUCGCGUGUGGUGGUUCUUGCCUUGUGUGUCAACGCCAGUUCGCGAUCGAGGAAAACUCCAGGGACAUGGUAGCCUACCCCUGGGUGGGUGAAUGUGCUUGGUAGAACUCAUUUGCGGACUGUUUCCUUCGUGUCUGGUUGCAGUGCUGCUUGAUCCUGUGUUGGCGCUUGGGGGUGGGAGCUCGCUCCUCACACCCUGCCCUUCUAAGGUUCUCAGCGCUUCCCUGACACAUAGACGAUGACUAAAUGGUUCUAUUCGACCCGUCUUGAAACACGGACCAAGGAGUCUAACAUAUGUGCGAGUCCACGGGUGGUAAACCUGCUGGCGCAGUGAAAGCGACUGCUGGGAUUUUUGCACCAGCAACCGACCAAUCAAUUGAGAGAGGUUUGAGUAUGAGCAUAUCUGUUAGGACCCGAAAGAUGGUGAACUAUGCCUGAGAAGGGCAAACUCAGGGGAAACUCUGAUGGAGGCUCGUAGCGAUACUGACGUGCAAAUCGUUCGUCAUACUUGGGUAUAGGGGCGAAAGACUAAUCGAACCAUCUAGUAGCUGGUUCCCUCCGAAGUUUCCCUCAGGAUAGCUGGAGUUGAACAGUUUUAUCAGGUAAAGCGAAUGAUUAGAGC